rnacentral:rRNA from 1 species
UACGUAGGGGCUAGCGUUAUCCGGAAUUACUGGGCGUAAAGGGUGCGUAGGCGGUCUUUCAAGCCAGAAGUGAAAGGCUACGGCUCAACCGUAGUAAGCUUUUGGAACUGUAAGACUUGAGUGCAGGAGAGGAGAGUGGAAUUCCUAGUGUAGCGGUGAAAUGCGUAGAUAUUAGGAGGAACACCAGUAGCGAAGGCGGCUCUCUGGACUGUAACUGACGCUGAGGCACGAAAGCGUGGGGAGCGAACAGGAUUAGAUACCCGGGUAGUCCCUGAG